CGUAUUACAAAGAGCAGCGAGAUAGCAAUAUUUAGCGAAUCUCAAAAAGAUAGUCUCAGUUCGGACUGUGGGCUGCAACCCGCCCACACGAAGUCGGAGUUGCUAGUAAUCCCGAAUCAGCAUGUCGGGGUGAAUGCGUUCCCGGGUCUUGUACACACCGCCCGUCACGCCAUGGGAGUUGGGAGUGCCCAAAGUCGGUGACCUAACCGCAAGGAAGGAGCCGCCUAAGGUAAUACCAAUGACUGGGGUGAAGUCGUAACAAGGUAAC
rnacentral:rRNA from 1 species